rnacentral:rRNA from 1 species
GACGAACGCUGGCGGCGUGCUUAACACAUGCAAGUCGAGCGGUAAGGCUCCUUCGGGAGUGCACGAGCGGCGAACGGGUGAGUAACACGUGAGUAACCUGCCCUUCUCAUCGGAAUAAGCGUUGGAAACGACGUCUAAUGCCGAAUACGACUUCGGAAGGCAUCUUCUGAAGUGGAAAGCUCCGGCGGAGAAGGAUGGACUCGCGGCCUAUCAGCUAGUUGGUGAGGUAACGGCUCACCAAGGCGACGACGGGUAGCCGGCCUGAGAGGGUGACCGGCCACACUGGGACUGAGACACGGCCCAGACUCCUACGGGAGGCAGCAGUGGGGAAUAUUGGACAAUGGGCGCAAGCCUGAUCCAGCAACGCCGCGUGAGGGAUGACGGCCUUCGGGUUGUAAACCUCUUUCAGCAGGGACGAAGCGCAAGUGACGGUACCUGCAGAAGAAGGACCGGCCAACUACGUGCCAGCAGCCGCCGUAACAC